AAGUUCCUCUGUUUUGUGUGUCGUGAAUCCAAGGACCACAAAUCCCAUAAUGUCAGCUUGAUCGAAGAAGCUGCCCAGAAUUAUCAGGGGCAGAUUCAAGAGCAGAUCCAAGUCUUGCAGCAAAAGGAGAAGGAGACAGUACAAGUGAAGGCACAAGGUGUACACAGGGUCGAUGUCUUCACGGUAAGAAAAACUCCAUCCCACGAUCUCUGGAAGCAGAAACAUCUCUGCCAAAGCUCCUGGAAUCCCCUAUUACACUGACCCCUCAGAAAAAGAUCCAGUGAGCCAUGUCCUCUCCUCGGCGCCUCAGCACCUGACCGGCCAGGCGGCAUCACCUCCCGCGUCGGCCUCGCUAUUACAGCGGGCUGACUGCUCAGUCUCCACCGGCAGACAAGGUGGGGCACGGAAAACCCGCGCUGGUCUUAGAAUCGCAAGUACAGGUUUUUAAGGCCGAGCUGCGCCCUCAACGGAUUCCCCAAUUAGAAAAUGAAGACAUUGGCCGGGCGCGGUGGCUCACGCCAGUAAUCACAGCACUCUGGGAGGCUGAGGAUCGCUUGAGCCCAGGAGUUUGAGACCAGCCUGGGCAACAUAGCGAGACUCUCCUCUUAAUUAA
rnacentral:lncRNA from 10 species